rnacentral:rRNA from 1 species
UACAGAGGAUGCAAGCGUUAUCCGGAGUGAUUGGGCGUAAAGCGUCCGCAGGCGGUUUUGUAAGUCUGCUGUUAAAGCGUUAGGCUCAACCUAAUAAGGGCAGUGGAAACUAUGAGACUAGAGUAUGUUAGGGGUAGAGGGAAUUCCCAGUGUAGCGGUGAAAUGCGUAGAGAUUGGGAAGAACACCGGUGGCGAAAGCGCUCUGCUAGGACAAUACUGACACUGAGGGACGAAAGCGAGGGGAGCGAAUGGG